AUUGAACGCUGGCGGCAGGCCUACCACAUGCAAGUCGAGCGGAGCGGCGGACGUGUGAGUCAUGCCUAGGAAUCUGCCUGGUAUUGGGGGAUAACGUCCGUAACCGGGCGCUAAUACCGCAUAAUAUCAGAUGAGUCCAGAUGGGAUUAGCUAGUAGGUGGGGUAACGGCGCACCUAGGCGACGAUCCCUAGCUGGUCUGAGAGGAUGACCAGCCACACGGGAACUGAGACACGGUCCAGACUCCUACGGGAGGCAGCAGUGGGGAAUAUUGCACAAUGGGCGAAAGCCUGAUGCAGCCAUGCCGCGUGUGUGAAGAAGGCCUUCGGGUUGUAAAGCACGUUCAGCGGGGAGGCGUUACCCGCAGAAGAAGCACCGGCUAACUCCGUGCCAGCAGCCGCGGUAAUUC
rnacentral:rRNA from 1 species